rnacentral:lncRNA from 1 species
UACAUAUUUUUUUACAAAUUUGUGGUAAGUCUGUUCAUAUUGCCUUAUUUGAUUACUUUCAAUCUUGGUUCUACGAAAUAAUUUUUUACAAUGUAUUAUAUAUAGGUUAGGCUUUCAAGUUCAAAAUAUCUCUGAUAAUAUGUGAUAUGUCACAUUUUUGUUCAUUGAUAUCAGACCAUAUCGAUCAGAGAUUUAAAGUUUUUUGACUGUCCUUGUGUUAAAAUUUCCACGAAAUAAUACCAAACAUUGGGAUAAGGUUAACUAUAAUACAGUUUUUAACAAUAUAUGAGGGUGAGGAUGGAGUUUUCAGUACAGAAAAUAAUGGGCUAAAUCUAUUUAAAAAAUGGACCAAAAAUUUGGGAAUAGAUUAAGAAAUAGUUAAAACAAGAUCCGGAUUAGAGAAUGAUGGGAUGCUAAAAUAUAAAGAAUAAAAAAAAUGGGCACAAAGUAGAGAGAGUUAAGAAGAAUAACCUUAAAAAAUUAAAGAAUUUAAGGAUGAAGACCCUCCAAAUCUAGAUCCUCUUAUAAGUAUUAAAAAAAGUAUAUAUAGAGUAGAUGUAACCCAGAAGUAUGAAAAAACGAAAGUAAAAAAUAAUGAGUAUAAAAAAGAUGUUGUAUGAUUGUCAAGAGACCAUUCGACACAGAAAUAAACAACUAUAGGUCACCGUACGGCCUUCAACAAUGAGCAAAGCCAAUACUGCAAAGUUAGCUAUGAAAGGCCCCGAAAUGACAAUUUUAAUGUUAAACAAUUCAAAUGAGAAAACUGAUAGCCUAAUUUUAUAUGUACAAAAAAUGAAUGAAAAACAAAUAUGAAACAUAUAAACAAACUUCAACCACUGAUUUACAGGCCCCUGACUUUGGACAGGCACAUACAUACAGAAUGUUAAGUUUUGAUAUAAAAGUGUCCUUUAUCCAAUUCUUUAUUUCCUAUUUAAAGUAAAUACACAAUAUUAUAUUAAUAAUCUAAAUUUUUGCCCUGAUUUAAUACUGAAAUUAUUAUUUUUGAUUUAUUUGGAGGCCUGAAGACUUAUUAUGUUAAAGUUGAGUUUCCUUAUUAAGAAUUCACAAUAUUGAAAGCUGAUUAAUGCCACAUGCACCUACAUACAAUAAAUUGUAUCUGACAACAAAGCAGAUAUUGUCAUGGAGCCAUUUUUUGUACAAUAAGCCACUUUUUAGUACAAAAUGUAAUUUUAGUAGGGUUCUGAAAGGCAAAGGAAGUUUCUCAGCUACAAUCUCAUCAAAGCGAUAACCCUCAAAAAUGAAAACAAUACUUUUUUCAAUAAAUUUCAUGCUUUCAAAUUGCUUUUCUGGAUUUGCCUUCCUCAGGAACACUCAAAGCCAGAUAUUAGAAAGCCAAGGAUUUAUAAGAACCAAAUCAGUUGAAGAGCUAUAUAUAUGACCAAAAAUUACUUAAUUUAAAAGCCAAAUCCAUCUAUAGCCAACUUUGCCUGAGGGAGUUUACCUAAGAUGAGAUGUAGCUAAGAGACCUCCGGAAGUUGAAAGACAAUGGACCAUCAUUUCAUUUUUCUAGUUAGAAUAUUAUGUUGGCUGAUAACAUCAUGUUGUUCUUACUG